UACGAGCUGUGCAAACGUUACUCGGAAUCAUUGGGCUUAAAGGGUGCGUAGGCGGCCUCGCAAGUCGGGUGUGAAAUGUCCUGGCUCAACCAGGGAAUUGCGCUCGAAACUGCGGGGCUCGAGGGAGAUAGAGGCAAGCGGAACUCAGGGUGGAGCGGUGAAAUGUGUUGAUAUCCUGGGGAACACCGGUGGCGAAAGCGGCUUGCUGGGUCUCUUCUGACGCUGAGGCACGAAAGCUAGGGUAGCGAACGGG
rnacentral:rRNA from 1 species